UACAGAGGGUGCGAGCGUUAAUCGGAAUUACUGGGCGUAAAGCGCGCGUAGGCGGUUCUGUAAGUCGGGUGUGAAAUCCCAGGGCUUAACCCUGGAACUGCAUUCGAGACUGCAGAACUGGAGUAUGGGAGAGGGCAGCGGAAUUUCCGGUGUAGCGGUGAAAUGCGUAGAUAUCGGAAGGAACAUCAGUGGCGAAAGCGGCUGCCUGGCCCAAUACUGACGCUCAUGUGCGAAAGCGUGGGGAGCAAACAGG
rnacentral:rRNA from 1 species